CUGUCCCUGCUUCAACAGUGUUUGGACAGAAAAG
rfam:Sus scrofa chromosome 7.